rnacentral:rRNA from 1 species
AGUGAACGCUGGCGGUAGGCCUAACACAUGCAAGCCGAACGGCAGCACAGUAAGAGCUUGCUCUUACGGGUGGCGAGUGGCGGACGGGUGAGGAAUACAUCGGAAUCUACUUUUUCGUGGGGGAUAACGUAGGGAAACUUACGCUAAUACCGCAUACGACCUACGGGUGAAAGCAGGGGAUCUUCGGACCUUGCGCGAUUGAAUGAGCCGAUGUCGGAUUAGCUAGUUGGCGGGGUAAAGGCCCACCAAGGCGACGAUCCGUAGCUGGUCUGAGAGGAUGAUCAGCCACACUGGAACUGAGACACGGUCCAGACUCCUACGGGAGGCAGCAGUGGGGAAUAUUGGACAAUGGGCGCAAGCCUGAUCCAGCCAUACCGCGUGGGUGAAGAAGGCCUUCGGGUUGUAAAGCCCUUUUGUUGGGAAAGAAAAGCAGCAGGUUAAUACCCCGCUGUUCUGACGGUACCCAAAGAAUAAGCACCGGCUAACUUCCUG